rnacentral:rRNA from 1 species
UAAUACGUAGGAUGCAAGCGUUGUCCGGAUUUACUGGGCGUAAAGCGCGCGCAGGCGGCACCACAAGUACCGUAUGAAAUCUCCUUGCUCAACGAGGAGGGUAUAAGGUAGACUGUGGAGCUAGAGGAGGGUAGAGGGGGGUAGAAUUGCUGGUGUAGCGGUGAAAUGCGUAGAGAUCAGCA